rnacentral:rRNA from 1 species
CUGGGAUAACUUCGGGAAACCGGAGCUAAUACCGGAUAAUAUUUUGAACCGCAUGGUUCAAAAGUGAAAGACGGUCUUGCUGUCACUUAUAGAUGGAUCCGCGCUGCAUUAGCUAGUUGGUAAGGUAACGGCUUACCAAGGCAACGAUGCAUAGCCGACCUGAGAGGGUGAUCGGCCACACUGGAACUGAGACACGGUCCAG